UAGGUCAAUAACACUGAUUGCGUGUAACGUUAAAAACAAAUCCGAAGCACACUUUCUCUUCACACGUCGCAGUACGUCGUGGACACUCCACAGCUACCAAUAAAGAAAUUAGUACCACAGUAUAAUCAUAUGCGCAACGAUAAAUUCUCUAAAAGCAAAAGCAACUAUUGAAGGAAAUACUUAAUCUACGAAUGACUAAGUCAUAAGUUACUGAAAAUAUCCGUUAACAAUGGCAGUAAAACUUUGACAAGUAAACAACCAGUCCGUUGUCCUUUUCGACUGAGCGAAACUGAAAAUGUUACUGGUUUCAGCUCUGGUCGUACUAAUAGGACACUCGCUCGCCCAAGAAUGCCAAAAACGCGACUACGGCAACGACGGCCACGUUUGUGUGUGCAAUUCCACCUACUGCGAUACAGUACCACCUCCAAGCCGCGUGGAACCACCAUCGUACCUAAUCUACACUUCUAACAAAGCUGGCUUAAGGUUCGCAAAAUCCGAAGGACGGUUCAUUGAGAGCAACGAAAUCUCCGACAAAACCAUCCAAAUCCACCCCAACGAAAAGUACCAAGAGAUUUUUGGCUGGGGUGGUGCUUUCACUGACUCGACUGGUGUUAAUUUAAAUUCGCUGGAUGAGCCCGCACAAGAUAAUUUGCUGAGGGCGUACUUUUCGAACGACGGCAUUGAGUACAGUUUGUGUCGGGUACCCAUUGGUGGUACCGAUUUUUCGGAACGUGGGUACUCCUACGAUGACGGAGACGAAGACCCGAAGCUAGAGAAUUUUCAACUAGCUCCGGAAGAUUUCAAGCUUAAGAUACCGUUUAUCAAAAAAGCGCAAAAUUUGACGUGGGGGAAUUUGAGGUUUUUCGCUUCUGUGUGGACUGCUCCCAAGUGGAUGAAAACUAAUAGGGAGUAUAAUGGGAUGUGGGGGUUUUUGCGCUACGAAAUGUACCAAUCAUGGGCUGACUACUUUGUCAAGUUCUUUGACAAGUACAGCGAGCAAGGGAUUCAAUUUUGGGGGUUGGUCACAGGGAAUGAACCCAGUUUGGCUAUGGUUCCCUUCACGAAGAUUAAUUCAGUGGCAUGGACGCCCGCCAUGUUGUCAACUUGGGUUCGCGAUAAUUUAGGACCGACAAUCCGUAACUCAAGCUAUUCAAAAAUCAAGAUUAUGAUGCUAGAUGACCAACGACUUUUCUUACCGUGGUACCCGAAGCUCGUACUAAAUGACGAAACCACGCACAUGUACGUAGAUGGAAUUGCCGUACACUGGUACUACGACUUCCUAUUGUCACCGCGUUUAUUAACAGAAACUCAUGACAGUUUCCCUGAUAAGUUCCUUCUAGCAACGGAAGCUUGUCACGGUUGGACCUUUAGUAAGUACUUUCUCAGAUUACACAGAUUUCGACACAGGUGACAAACCUUUUCAAAAACACGUGGAUUUGGGCUUGUGAUUCCGUGGAGAAGAGUACGCGAAAGACAUAAUCCAGGAUGUACAAAACUGGGUUACCGGUUGGGUCGACUGGAAUAUGGCGCUAAAUCUUCAAGGAGGUCCCACGUACAUAGAAAACUUUGUAGACUCUCCAAUCAUAGUUAAUUCUUCAGCUGGAGAAUUUUAUAAGCAACCAAUGUUCUAUGCUUUAGGUCACUUCUCCAAAUUUGUACAAAGAGGUUCCAUCCGGUUAGGUUCUUCAACCUUUUGUGAUAAAGUCAUGGUUGUUGCUUUCCAAAGACCAGA